GCGGGUGUAGUUCAAUGGCAGAACGCCAGCUUCCCAAGCUGGACGCGUGGGUUCGAUUCCCAUCAUCCGCU
rnacentral:tRNA from 1 species